rnacentral:rRNA from 1 species
CCUACGGGUGGCAGCAGUAGGGAAUAUUGCUCAAUGGGGGAAACCCUGAAGCAGCAACGCCGCGUGGAGGAUGACGGUUUUAGGAUUGUUAACUCCUUUUGUUAGAGAAGAUUAUGACGGUAUCUAACGAAUAAGCACCGGCUAACUCAGUGCCAGCAGCCGCGGUUAUACGGAAGGUGCAAGCGUUAUUCGGAAUUACUGGGCGUAAAGAGUGCGUAGGCGGGGUAAUAAGUCAGAUGUGAAAUUCUGUAGCUUAACUACAGAACUGCAUUUGAAACUGGUACUUUGGAGUGUGGGAGAGGUAGGUGGAAUUCGUGGUGUAGGGGUAAAAUCCGUAGAGAUCAAGAGGAAUACUCAUUGCGAAGGCAACCUGCUGGAACAGUACUGACGCUGAUGCACGAAAGCGUGGGGAGCGAACAGGAUUAGAUACCCGUGUAGUC